AUUGAACGCUGGCGGCAGGCUUAACACAUGCAAGUCGAGCGGAGUGAUGGUGCUUGCACUAUCACUUAGCGGCGGACGGGUGAGUAAUGCUUAGGAAUCUGCCUAUUAGUGGGGGACAACAUCUCGAAAGGGGUGCUAAUACCGCAUACGUCCUACGGGAGAAAGCAGGGGAUCACUUGUGACCUUGCGCUAAUAGAUGAGCCUAAGUCGGAUUAGCUAGUUGGUGGGGUAGAGGCCUACCAAGGCGACGAUCUGUAGCGGGUCUGAGAGGAUGAUCCGCCACACUGGGACUGAGACACGGCCCAGACUCCUACGGGAGGCAGCAGUGGGGAAUAUUGGACAAUGGGGGGAACCCUGAUCCAGCCAUGCCGCGUGUGUGAAGAAGGCCUUAUGGUUGUAAAGCACUUUAAGCGAGGAGGAGGCUCUUUUGGUUAAUACCCAAGAUGAGUGGACGUUACUCGCAGAAUAAGCACCGGCUAACUCUGUGCCAGCCGCCGCAGUAA
rnacentral:rRNA from 1 species